rnacentral:rRNA from 1 species
UACGUAGGGUGCAAGCGUUGUCCGGAAUUAUUGGGCGUAAAGAGCUCGUAGGCGGUCUGUCGCGUCGGCUGUGAAAACUCGGGGCUCAACCCCGAGCCUGCAGUCGAUACGGGCAGACUUGAGUGCUGUAGGGGAGACUGGAAUUCCUGGUGUAGCGGUGAAAUGCGCAGAUAUCAGGAGGAACACCAAUUGCGAAGGCAGCUCGCUGGGACGUUACUGACGCUGAGACGCGAAAGCGUGGGGAGCAAACAGG